rnacentral:rRNA from 1 species
AUCUUCCGCAAUGGACGAAAGUCGGACGGAGCAAUGCCGCGCGAGUGAAGAAGGUUUUNUGAUCGNANAACUCUGUUGUUAGAGANGAACAACGAUGAGCGCAACUACUCAUCCCCUGACGGUAUCUAACCAGAAAGCCAUGGCUAACUACGUGCCAGCAGCCGCGGUAAUACGUAGAUGGCAAGCGUUGUCCGGAUUUAUUGGGCGUAAAGCGAGCGCAGGCGGUUCUUUAAGUCUGAGGUGAAAGCCCCCAGCUCAACUGGAGAAGGUCAUUGGAAACUGGGGAACUUGAGUGCAGAAGAGGAGAGUGGAAUUCCACGUGUAGCGGUGAAAUGGGUAGAUAUGUGGAGGAACACCAGUGGCAAAGGCGACUCUCUGGUCUGUAACUGACGCUGAGGCUCGAAAGCAUGGGGAGCAAAC